GCAGUGGUGGUUCACUGGUAGAAUUUUCACCUCCCAUGUGGAAGACCCAGGUUCGAUUCCUGGCUAAUGCG
rnacentral:tRNA from 1 species